rnacentral:piRNA from 1 species
UCCUGGGUGACUUGUGUAGAAUUAGGUUGGU